GAUGAACGCUGGCGGCGUGCCUAAUACAUGCAAGUCGAGCGAACAGACGAGGAGCUUGCUCCUCUGACGUUAGCGGCGGACGGGUGAGUAAAACGUGGAUAACCUACCUAUAAGACUGGGAUAACUUCGGGAAACCGGAGCUAAUACCGGAUAAUAUAUUGAACCGCAUGGUUCAAUAGUGAAAGACGGUUUUGCUGUCACUUAUAGAUGGAUCCGCGCCGCAUUAGCUAGUUGGUAAGGUAACGGCUUACCAAGGCAACGAUGCGUAGCCGACCUGAGAGGGUGAUCGGCCACACUGGAACUGAGCCACGGCCCAGCACCCUACGGGAGGCAGCAGUAGGGAAUCUUCCGCAAGGGGCGAAAGCCUGACGGAGCAACGCCGCGGGAGGGAAGAAGGUCUUCGGAUCGUAAAACUCUUUUAUUAGGGAAGAAAAAAUGUGUAAGUAACUAUGCACGUCUUGACGGUACCUAAUCAAAAAGCCACGGCUAACUACGU
rnacentral:rRNA from 1 species